AUAGGUCAAGAAGGACUCGUAGGGCUGAUCACCCUCCCUGCAAGUUUAUUUCGGGAUCCGAGAACGCGUAGGGGUUUUCCAGCUGGAAGGGGAGCUCAGAAUGACCCCUAGGGGGACAACAUGUUGACCGAAUCCUACCUGUCAGCCCAGCCUACAUGCCACAGCCUACCGGACUGCAGCGCUGGAAGCCACGUGGCUGAACACAGGUUCAGAUCCCUGGGUCAGCCUGAAGACCAGUGGGUGUCCAGGAUCCCGAGGAACUGGACACUUGAGGAGAGAGGUCUCAGCACAACACUCUGUCCAAGCAAGCGUACAAGCCCUAUAGCAAAAACCUCUCCAAAAAAAAUGACACUGCCGGAAGUGGCACAGCCGUGCCUGCGAACUAGCUGAAUGGGCAAUUUGGCAACUGUCUAAUCUAGACAUGGGCCAUUAAAGCCCGAUGCCUGGUUUUGAAAGAAAUAAAGUUUUAU